CAUUCUUGUGCACAGCAUUCCUCCUCAAUAAGAUCUAUCCACCUAUGACAUUUCAUGUUGACAUCUCAAACACUUUUGAGUUAUGCUCCACUCAGGUGAAAAAUUAAGUAUGAAAAAUAACAAAGGGCAAUAACUCAAAAAUUAUGAAAGGUAGAGUUAUCAUUCUUGUGCACUGCACACCUCCUGGGUGAGAUCUAUGCACCUAUGAAGUUUCAUGUUGAUAUCUCAAGGCUUUUUGAGUUAUGCUCUGGACAAAAAUUAAUUUUGAAAAAUAACAAAGGGCAAUAACUC